UACGUAGGGGGCAAGCGUUGUCCGGAAUCAUUGGGCGUAAAGAGCGUGUAGGCGGCUAUUUAAGUCCUGCGUGAAAUCCUGCGGCUCAACCGCAGACGGUCGUGGGAAACUGGAUGGCUAGAGUGCGGGAGAGGAGAGUGGAAUUCCCGGUGUAGCGGUGAAAUGCGCAGAUAUCGGGAGGAACACCGGUGGCGAAGGCGGGUCUCUGGGCAGUAACUGACGCUGAGGAGCGAAAGCGUGGGGAGCGAACAGG
rnacentral:rRNA from 1 species